rnacentral:rRNA from 1 species
UACAGAGGGUGCAAACGUUGUUCGGAAUUACUGGGCGUAAAGCGCGUGUAGGCUGCCUUGCAAGUCGGGUGUGAAAGCCCUGGGCUCAACCUAGGAAGUGCACUCGAAACUGCAAGGCUGGAGUCCUGGAGAGGAAGGCGGAAUUCUCGGUGUAGAGGUGAAAUUCGUAGAUAUCGAGAGGAACACCGGUGGCGAAGGCGGCCUUCUGGACAGUGACUGACGCUGAGACGCGAAAGCGUGGGGAGCAAACAGG